CGGCCUGCAGCCGGGGCAGCCCGUUACAGCGCAGUGGGAGGACGAGCCCCCGGUCGGCAGUGGGACUGCGGCGCCCCGCGGCGGUCCCCGCCGCUGCCCCGUUCGGCUGCCGACACAACAGGGGAUUGAAAACAAGUUUCCUCCGAAAAAUGUGGACCUAAUGUCUCAAUCUGUAUGCGUGAACACAACAUUUUUGAUAGCUUUGGAAGCUUUAGGCUGCAUCAGACCAGCAUUUCAGCUGCCAUCCUGGCUCUGUCAUUUCAAAGGAAAAUGCAAGAACUCCCAUAGUGGGUGAAUAUGGAAUAACACUGAAGAGGAAGCUUUAUGUUUUAAACCUCCUGUAAUU
rnacentral:lncRNA from 1 species